rnacentral:rRNA from 2 species
UACAGAGGGUGCAAGCGUUGUUCGGAAUUAUUGGGCGUAAAGAGCGUGUAGGCGGCCCGGUAAGUCCGCUGUGAAAGUCGGGGGCUCAACCCUCGGAUGCCGGUGGAUACUGUCGGGCUCGAGUACGGAAGAGGCGAGUGGAAUUCCUGGUGUAGCGGUGAAAUGCGCAGAUAUCAGGAGGAACACCAAUUGCGAAGGCAGCUCGCUGGGACGUUACUGACGCUGAGACGCGAAAGCGUGGGGAGCAAACAGG